rnacentral:rRNA from 1 species
GGUGAGUAAUAUAUAGGAAUCUACCUAAUAGUAAGGAAUAAGUAUUGGAAACGAUAUCUAAUACCAUAUACUACCAUUUAUUUGGGAAAGGGUUAGUCGCAAGAUUAACUCGCUAUUUGAUGAGCCUAUAUCGGAUUAGCUAGUUGGUGAGGUAAAGGCCCACCAAGGCGAUGAUCCGUAGCUGGUCUGAGAGGGUGAUCAGCCACAUUGGGACUGCGACACGGCCCAAACUCC